CAGUAGUCACGAGUUUGGAAUCCCGUCGGACUUACGACGAACGAACGCGUGGCGGCAUGCCUAACACAUGCAAGUCGAACGAAGUNUUCGGACUUAGUGGCGCACGGGUGCGUAACGGCGUGGGAAUCUGCCCUUGGGUUCGGAAUAACAGUGAGAAAUUACUGCUAAUACCGGAUGAUGACUUCGGUCCAAAGAUUUAUCGCCCAAGGAUGAGCCCGCGUAAGAUUAGCUAGUUGGUGAGGUAAAGGCUCACCAAGGCGACGAUCUUUAGCUGGUCUGAGAGGAUGAUCAGCCACACUGGGACUGAGACACGGCCCAGACUCCUACGGGAGGCAGCAGUGGGGAAUAUUGGGACAAUGGGCGAAAGCCUGAUCCAGCAAUGCCGCGUGAGUGAUGAAGGCCUUAGGGUUGUAAAGCUCUUUUACCAGGGAUGAUAAUGACAGUACCUGGAGAAUAAGCUCCGGCUAACUCCGUG
rnacentral:rRNA from 1 species